rnacentral:rRNA from 1 species
CGGCAAUAGCUCAAGUUUAGAAUCUUUGGUCGUCUCGGCCAACGAAUUGUAAUCUAAAGGGGUCAACAAAAGGGGAAGUCGAGGUAUAAGUUCCUUGGAACAGGACAUCAUAGAGGGUGAAAAUCCCGUAUGUAACCUCUGCUGAACCGAAUGUUUUCCUUCUAA